rnacentral:misc_RNA from 1 species
CGCAGAAUAAAAUUAAGAAAGCUAUGUUAAAUUGUGGUAUGAAAAAUAGGAGAAGAAACUAACAUAAUUUUGCAGGUGCCAAGAUACAAUAAUUGGAGGAGGAUUCGUGGGAGGAAUUUCUGGUGGUGAACGAAAAAGAGUCUGCAUUGGCAAUGAGAUUCUACUCAAUCCAUCACUUUUUUUCUCGAUAAACCAACAACCGGAC